UACGUAGGGUGCAAGCGUUGUCCGGAAUUAUUGGGCGUAAAGGGUGCGUAGGCGGUUUGAUAAGUCUGAUGUGAAAUCUAUGGGCUCAACCCAUAGUCUGCAUUAGAAACUGUCGGGCUUGAGUAUGGGAGAGGUGAGUGGAAUUUCCGGUGUAGCGGUGAAAUGCGUAGAUAUCGGAAGGAACACCUGUGGCGAAAGCGGCUCACUGGACCAUUACUGACGCUGAUGCACGAAAGCUAGGGGAGCAAACAGG
rnacentral:rRNA from 1 species